rfam:Brucella melitensis biovar Abortus 2308 chromosome I, complete sequence, strain 2308
AGUAAUGGUUGAAAAGCCCGCAAAUACAGGCUUAGUUGAGGGCAUCAGAAGAAGCCAUUGACUUGUCAGGCGUUUUUCUGAUCUCCAGAUUUCAUGUUGCGGACAGUUCCUGCUCGCAUCAGGGCCGGUCGGGAAACUCCGCCGGCCUUUAUUUUUAACA